UACGUAGGGUGCAAGCGUUGUCCGGAAUUAUUGGGCGUAAAGAGCUCGUAGGCGGUUUGUCGCGUCGAAUGUGAAAACCCGGGGCUCAACUCCGGGCCUGCAUUCGAUACGGGCAGACUAGAGUUCGGUAGGGGAGACUGGAAUUCCUGGUGUAGCGGUGAAAUGCGCAGAUAUCAGGAGGAACACCGGUGGCGAAGGCGGGUCUCUGGGCCGAUACUGACGCUGAGGAGCGAAAGCGUGGGGAGCGAACAGG
rnacentral:rRNA from 1 species